GUCGAACGACUUCCGUUAUUGAUUAUGACGUGCUUGCACUGAAUGAGAUUUUAACACGAAGUGAGUGGCGGACGGGUGAGUAACACGUGGGUAACCUGCCCAGAAGCAGGGGAUAACACCUGGAAACAGAUGCUAAUACCGUAUAACAGAGAAAACCGCCUGGUUUUCUUUUAAAAGAUGGCUCUGCUAUCACUUCUGGAUGGACCCGCGGCGCAUUAGCUAGUUGGUGAGGUAACGGCUCACCAAGGCGAUGAUGCGUAGCCGACCUGAGAGGGUAAUCGGCCACAUUGGGACUGAGACACGGCCCAGACUCCUACGGGAGGCAGCAGUAGGGAAUCUUCCACAAUGGACGCAAGUCUGAUGGAGCAACGCCGCGUGAGUGAAGAAGGGUUUCGGCUCGUAAAGCUCUGUUGUUAAAGAAGAACGUGGGUGAGAGUAACUAUUCACCCAGUGACGGUAUUUAACCAGAAAGCCACGGCUAACUACGUGCCAGCAGCCGCGGUAAUACGUAGGUGGCAAGCGUUAUCCGGAUUUAUUGGGCGUAAAGCGAGCGCAGGCGGUCUUUUAAGUCUAAUGUGAAAGCCUUCGGCUCAACCGAAGAAGUGCAUUGGAAACUGGGAGACUUGAGUGCAGAAGAGGACAGUGGAACUCCAUGUGUAGCGGUGAAAUGCGUAGAUAUAUGGAAGAACACCAGUGGCGAAGGCGGCUGUCUGGUCUGUAACUGACGCUGAGGCUCGAAAGCAUGGGUAGCGAACAGGAUUAGAUACCCUGGUAGUCCAUGCCGUAAACGAUGAUUACUAAGUGUUGGAGGGUUUCCGCCCUUCAGUGCUGCAGCUAACGCAUUAAGUAAUCCGCCUGGGGAGUACGACCGCAAGGUUGAAACUCAAAAGAAUUGACGGGGGCCCGCACAAGCGGUGGAGCAUGUGGUUUAAUUCGAAGCUACGCGAAGAACCUUACCAGGUCUUGACAUCUUCUGCCAACCUAAGAGAUUAGGCGUUCCCUUCGGGGACAGAAUGACAGGUGGUGCAUGGUUGUCGUCAGCUCGUGUCGUGAGAUGUUGGGUUAAGUCCCGCAACGAGCGCAACCCUUAUUACUAGUUGCCAGCAUUCAGUUGGGCACUCUAGUGAGACUGCCGGUGACAAACCGGAGGAAGGUGGGGACGACGUCAAAUCAUCAUGCCCCUUAUGACCUGGGCUACACACGUGCUACAAUGGAUGGUACAACGAGUUGCGAAACCGCGAGGUUUAGCUAAUCUCUUAAAACCAUUCUCAGUUCGGACUGUAGGCUGCAACUCGCCUACACGAAGUCGGAAUCGCUAGUAAUCGCGGAUCAGCAUGCCGCGGUGAAUACGUUCCCGGGCCUUGUACACACCGCCCGUCACACCAUGAGAGUUUGUAACACCCAAAGCCGGUGG
rnacentral:rRNA from 1 species